rnacentral:rRNA from 1 species
UCAGCGGCGGACGGGUGAGUAACACGUGGGUAACCUGCCUGUAAGACUGGGAUAACUCCGGGAAACCGGGGCUAAUACCGGAUGCUUGAUUGAACCGCAUGGUUCAAUCAUAAAAGGUGGCUUUUAGCUACCACUUGCAGAUGGACCCGCGGCGCAUUAGCUAGUUGGUGAGGUAACGGCUCACCAAGGCGACGAUGCGUAGCCGACCUGAGAGGGUGAUCGGCCACACUGGGACUGAGACACGGCCCAGACUCCUACGGGAGGCAGCAGUAGGGAAUCUUCCGCAAUGGACGAAAGUCUGACGGAGCAACGCCGCGUGAGUGAUGAAGGUUUUCGGAUCGUAAAACUCUGUUGUUAGGGAAGAACAAGUACCGUUCGAAUAGGGCGGCACCUUGACGGUACCUAACCAGAAAGCCACGGCUAACUACGUGCCAGCAGCCGCGGUAAUACGUAGGUGGCAAGCGUUGUCCGGAAUUAUUGGGCGUAAAGCGCGCGCAGGCGGUUUCUUAAGUCUGAUGUGAAAGCCCCCGGCUCAACCGGGGAGGGUCAUUGGAAACUGGGGAACUUGAGUGCAGAAGAGGAGAGUGGAAUUCCACGUGUAGCGGUGAAAUGCGUAGAGAUGUGGAGGAACACCAGUGGCGAAGGCGACUCUCUGGUCUGUAACUGACGCUGAGGCGCGAAAGCGUG